UUGGGAACUUAUAAAGAGGGCAGGGUACAAUGCUAUAUGGAGGAAGCCUCUGAACAACAACUGUUAUGUUAAUCGGCAUACUCAAUUACAACCUCCUAUAUGUGAAGCUAAUGACGAUCCAAACAAUGUUUGGUAUGUCAGUCUAAAGGCAUGUAUCACUCCGUUACCUGAGAAUGGUUAUGGGGCUAAUGUUACUAGCUUGCCCACACGCCUUCAUUAUCCACCAGACAGGGUACUUACCAUAAAAAUGGAUGCCUACAAUUCCCGAAAGGAAAUAUUCAGAGCAGAGUCAAAAUAUUGAAACGAUCUUGUAAAUGGUUAUGUUAAUGCCUUCAAUUGGAAAGACUUACACCUACGAAACGUGAUGGACAUGAAGGCUGGAUAUUGAGGGUUUGCUGCAGCAUUACAUGAUUAUGGGAUUGAUUGUUGGGUUAUGAAUGUUGUUCCUGUUAGUGGUUUCAAUACAUUGCCUGUUAUUUAUGACCGUGGGCUCGUAGGAGUUAUGCAUGACGGGUGUGAGCCAUUUGAUACUUAUC